AUUGAACGCUGGCGGCAUGCCUUACACAUGCAAGUCGAACGGCAGCAUGAUCUCGCUUGCUAGAUUGAUGGCGAGUGGCGAACGGGUGAGUAAUACAUCGGAACCUGCCCUGUCGUGGGGGAUAACUAGUCGAAAGAUCAGCUAAUACCGCAUACGACCUGCGGGUGAAAGUGGGGGUCCGCAAGGCCUCAUGCUAUAGGAGCGGCCGGUGUCUGGUUGUUUUGUUGGUGAGGUAAACGCUCACCAAGGCGACGAUCUGUAGCUGGUCUGAGAGGACGAACAGGCACAGUGGGGCUGAGACACGGCCCAGGGACCGAGGGGAGGCACAGGUGGGAAUGUUGGACAAUGGGCGAAAGCAUGAUCCAGCAAGGCCGCGUGUGUGAAGAAGGCCUUCGGGUUGUAAAGCAGUUUUGUCCGGAAAGAAAUGGCUCUGGUUAAUACCUAGGGUCGAUGACGGUACCGGAAGAAGAAGGACCGGCUAACUACGUG
rnacentral:rRNA from 1 species